GGUUUCUGACCUGUCAGGUAGAAAUGUGGGCCACCUUUGUCGUGGUCAUUGUAACCUCAGAGCCCCGCCCCCUGCUGCUCUGCGGUCCACACUCUCAGUCGUGGAGAAGCUGCCCACAUGUCCCGGAGCAAACCCAUCACUCUAAGAAGAAAGCGGGGGGACAGCCUCAGUCACCGCUGAGUUUAAACUUCCCCCACCCCGCACCUCAAAUAAAACUGAUGACUUUUGCUUCUGUGCUUGUUUGGCUGGAGGGAUGGCCCAGAAAGUGCGUGGUGCUCCAAGGCCAGGAACGGUGACGAAUUCCUGGAAGAAGGUCCAGGGCCUGCCAAGCACCUGUCCUUAGCUGGUGUCAGCUGCUCUCCGAGGACCAGCCCCAGAAACUGCUCCUGCCUCCACAUGAGGAGUGUCAGGAAGCCCUAUCCGCCGUCCCCGCAGGCUCUCCCCGCAGGUGCUGGAACUCCCAACGCUGCACGUGGGACCGGAAACGCCGCCAGGACGCACAGGACAGGAUGCUUGGCAGCUUCCAUGGUCGCCUGGGUACAGAUGCUGCUCUGACUGCCUGAUCAGAACUUUAAGAGUGCAUUGCGGGGAGUCUCCAGUGGCACAGAUGGCUGAGGAUCCGGCCUGCUCACGGCCUUGCUGGGGUCACUGCUGUGCCGUGGAGUCAGUCCCUGGUCCCAGAACUUCUGGAUGUUGCAGGUGCAGCCCAAGUCCCUCGCACACUGUGUUUCGAGACACGGCCACAUGCGGAAGCAGUAACUAAAUAAAAGUUUUAGACUA